rfam:Arabis alpina cultivar Pajares chromosome 1, whole genome shotgun sequence.
GAGCUAUGAUGACAUCGGCUUCAGCAAUGGUUGGGUCCAUUGCACACAUCUGAUCUUCCGAUGAUAAUGCCACACUCCUGAGCUC